UACAGAGGCCCCAAGCGUUACUGAGAAUCACUGGGUUUAAAGGGUGCGUAGGUGGUCCGUUAAGUCUGUUGUGAAAGCCCUUGGCUCAACCAAGGAAUUGCUUCGGAUACUGGCGGACUUGAGGCUAGUAGAGGUCACUGGAACUGACGGUGGAGCGGUGAAAUGCGUAGAUAUCGUCAGGAACGCCGGUGGUGAAGACGGGUGACUGGGCUAGUUCUGACACUGAGGCACGAAAGCGUGGGGAGCGAUCCGG
rnacentral:rRNA from 1 species